GCAGGUGGCACUGUUGAGUCGGCACUGGAAGAACCUGACUGAGCUCCACCGGGACCUGGAGGGGGUCAACCCUUGGGUUUUUCUUCCAGAACCCAGAGCCCCGGAGCGGAUCUCACUCUAGCCCUGGCUGGCCUGAGACUACCAUGUAGACCAGGCUGGCCUCAGAGAUCUGCCUACAUCAACUCCCCAAGUGCUGGGAAUAAAGAAGAGGGCACCAGAUCUCACCAUAGAUGGCUGUGAGCCACCAUGUGGUCGCCGGGAACCGAACCCAGGACCUCUGGAAGAUCAGUCAGUGCUCCAAACCUCUGAGCCAUCUCUCCAGCCCUAGGUGUGUGUUUUGAAGAUUAUGCCCGAGCUUGCUUUCUGAUGCAGCCUCCUCCUCCUCCUCUUCCACCACCACCCAGCACCUCAAUGUUCUGCUCCCCCUUGGCCCAGAAUCAACAGAGCCAAAUGGACUGAGAUCUCUGGAACCAUGAGCCAAAAUAAAGACU